rnacentral:lncRNA from 1 species
GUGGUCGUUAUUCUCCUUGAUAACGUUAUCGCCUUGACCUUGACUCAUUCUUUGUAAGCCUUGCCUCUCCCUCUUAACAGCCUGUCUGUAAUCUGACUUUAUCUCUUCUACACUGAAAUUGGCCAAUUUACAUGGCACCCCUCACCACAGCCACUGGAUGUGCCUCUAAUCUAAUUAGACUAAUUUCAAUUUCCUGGAUUUAAUGACUUUUAAUUUAAUUAAUUUAGAAUGCAGUACACAGGGUGAUUAAUUAGGAAACGUUACUGCGGGAUUUGGAAGGUGAGUCGCAGGAUGUGUUUAAAUAUUGUGGCCGUGGCCGUCAGUCGCUUUACACGGGGGGCCCCCCCCGCCCCCAGGAGGCACAGAAUCCGGAAAACCCCGGGCGGAGCCGGGACCUGAAUGGAGAUCACCCGACGCCAAGCUUGGAUCCUUCGUCUCUGUGCUUUCAGUGACAAGGAGCAACUCCCAGGGGAAGCGAGGGGGCGGCGGAUUCCAGCGAACGUCGAGCGGGAACGAGGCAAGUGUCGCCAGCGGUGAGGACGGGCCUUGUCUUUCUGCAGAGCCAUAUCCUUCGCCGUGUUCUCCGUGCGCCAGUGUACCCACAUGUGCAAGAGGAAUGGCUGAAUCUAACUACAUGAGCCCAGCUGAGCAGCCCAGAUGAGGUAUGCCAAGGGACACUAUCUUGGGCCACAUCCUGUUCAACACUUACCAAUGGCUAGAAUGGCCUUACUACUCACGGCGUCCCUGUAAGAUAGGUUGUGUUACCCCUUUUACCGGCCAGGUGAUUCCCCCAUGGGGCUGAACCGCCUUGUCCCCGAGGGGCGUGUGGGAAAGUGGGAAGGGUGGACGUUUCAGGGAAGGCGAGAGGCAGGGUUUGAAAUGGCCUUGGCCAGGCUGAAAUGGGCUCAAAUUCAUGCAUAGCAAGAUGAAAGGCGAGAGAGACCUUUGCUUGGGGUUCAGAAUACCCACCAGACACACACAGGAUGUGGGAUACCUAGGUCAACAGCAUAAGUGAAAGAGGCUGGGUUUUUAGUUGACAGGAAGUCUCGUAUGAGUCAACAGGGGGGGAGGUGGCAGCCAGCAAAGCUAAUGUCACUGUAGCAUCCACCAAGUGGAGGUACAACGAGUGGGGGAGGGAGGAGAUACUCCCGAGUCAGUCUGCCUCCAGGAAAUGGAGCUCAGGUCUGGAAACCUGAGUCAGAGAAAGGGGCAGAGAGCUCACCAGGCUCUCUGACCCAGAGGCUGGGGGUGGAGAGGUGGCUCCUGGCUGCUGCUGGACACUCUCCUCGUCCUCUGGCAUCCCCAAAGCGUAUUAGUCUAUUUCUGAACAAUUACAGCCCCUUCUUGCUCUUAUCCGACUGCCUUGCCUGCCUCCAGAAUACGUUACUCAUGCAACUUCGGGUUUUAUUCACGUAACCUGAGUACCUGUGGGGGAUUCCUUGUGACCUCGUUUCUCCAUGAAGUCACGUUCAAAGAAGCCCAAUCCAGCAAGCGAAAGAGAGAGAUUUCCAUCUUCAGGCACACCUCUCAAAGAGAUGAAAAAGAAUGAGGUCCCUGUUUCCUUUCCUCUCUUACUAGCUUGGGCUUCAAGUCUUCUUUAGAAACUUUGGCUCUUCCAAGGCACCCCAAACCCCCCGGGCAUCCAUAAUCGACCUGACACG